GAUGAACGCUAGCGGCAGGCUUAACACAUGCAAGUCGAGGGGCAGCGGGGAGGAAGCUUGCUUUCUCCGCCGGCGACCGGCGCACGGGUGAGUAACACGUAUCCAACCUGCCUCAUACUCGGGGAUAGCCUUUCGAAAGAAAGAUUAAUACCCGAUGUUAUAGUCCUACCGCAUGAUGGGAUUAUUAAAGAAUUUCGGUAUGGGAUGGGGAUGCGUUCCAUUAGUUAGUUGGCGGGGUAACGGCCCACCAAGACAACGAUGGAUAGGGGUUCUGAGAGGAAGGUCCCCCACAUUGGAACUGAGACACGGUCCAA
rnacentral:rRNA from 1 species